GAGGGUGCAAGCGUUAUCCGGAUUCACUGGGUUUAAAGGGUGCGUAGGUGGGUUGAUAAGUCAGUGGUGAAAUCCCCGAGCUUAACUUGGGAACUGCCAUUGAUACUAUUGAUCUUGAAUACCGUGGAGGUCAGCGGAAUAUGUCAUGUAGCGGUGAAAUGCUUAGAUAUGACAUAGAACACCAAUUGCGAAGGCAGCUGGCUACGCGAAUAUUGACACUGAUGCACGAAAGCGUGGGGAUCAAACAGG
rnacentral:rRNA from 1 species